CUUCAGUCUUCCUAACAAAUGGAUCAACACAUUAUUUUAACCUUUUUUACUGUUAUAUUAUUAUCAUUGGAAAGUUACCGAAGACAACAAAAGGAGGAGAAUGGUGAUUCAUGGAAGGCAAAAGUGAAAUAAUGGAUAAAUCGAGGAAUCGAGGAAAGGUCCAUUACAUUAACUGCAAUUAGAUGCAUUUUUUUGUAAGGUCCAAGAAGAGGAUAAAAAAUAUUCAAUGAUUUAAUGUGAUUCCUGGUCCACCCUAAGGCAUGGGAACGAGUCGAACCAAUUGGACAUAGUUUAUGCUGCUGUUAAUUAAAGUUAUCCAAGUGACUAUCGACUUACCCGUUGAUUCAAUUGACAUUUUAUGUUAUUUAUUGUUGUAAUGAAAAGAUUGAGAUAAUUUCUCCUGCCAACUCCUUCUUUAUAAGCAACUCAAUGAAAGUGCAAAAUUGGUUAAAAUAACAAGCUUUUGGGUCGAUAUUUAAAUGCAACGGAUUAAUAAGCAUGAUAAGACUGAACCUCUUUGCUUACAACUCUAGUCAAUUGGCAUAAAAAACAGUCUCACGAUAAUGAAUCGGAUGAAACUGAAAGCCAAUUAAUUAACUGCAUUUACUUUGAUUACAUUAAAUGAAGAAAAGUAAACAGAAAAGUAUUGAAAUUGAAUUUAUCAAUUAAAUGGUUUUCUCAAUGAAAAUGAAAACCCAUUUAUGGUUAUAACAUUAACCUUACAUCAACUUCAACCUCAACAUCAUUACCAUUGCAUUAUUUAAUGUAAAAUGAAUCUAAUCUUUUGACAAGAAAAUAAUUGAAAGACUUUUUUGGUUACAUUUAACAAGAAGUAUCCAGAUGAUGUAAAGUAAAGGGAAGAAUCUUGUUGAUCAUGAAUUGGCUGAGUUUACAUUCAGAUGUCGAUUGAAAUGAUGUUCAUUAUCAUGCAAAUAAAUGAUUGACUAACAAUAA